AUUGAACGCUGGCGGCAGGCCUAACACAUGCAAGUCGAACGAGUGGCGGACGGGUGAGUAAUGUCUGGGAAACUGCCCGAUGGAGGGGGAUAACUACUGGAAACGGUAGCUAAUACCGCAUACCAUCAGAUUUGCCCAGAUGGGAUUUGCUGGUAGGUGGGGUAACGGCUCACCUAGGCGACGACCCCUAGCUGGUCUGAGAGGAUGACCAGCCACACGGGAACUGAGCAACGGUCCAGACGCCGACGGGAGGAAGAAGUGGGGAACAUCGGACAAGGGGCGCAAGCCUGAUGCAGCCAUGCCGCGUGGGUGAAGAAGGCCUUCGGGUUGUAAAGUACGUUCAGCGGGGAGGCGUUACCCGCAGAAGAAGCACCGGCUAACUCCGUGCCAGCAGCCGCGGUAAUUC
rnacentral:rRNA from 1 species